rnacentral:rRNA from 1 species
UACAGAGGCGGCAAGCGUUGUUCGGAUUUAUUGGGUGUAAAGGGCAGGUAGGUGGUCAUUUAAGUCCGCUGUGAAAUCCCAGGGCUCAACCCUGGAACUGCAGUAGAAACUGAAUGACUUGAGAAUUGGAGAGAUGAGGGGAAUUCUCGGUGUAAGGGUGAAAUCUGUAGAUAUCGAGAGGAAUACCAGUGGCGAAGGCGCCUCAUUGGCCAAUAACUGACACUGAGCUGCGAAAGCAAGGGGAGCAAACAGG